UACGGGGGGCAGCAGUGGGGAAUAUUGCACAAUGGGCGGAAGCCUGAUGCAGCAACGCCGCGUGCGGGAUGACGGCCUUCGGGUUGUAAACCGCUUUCGCCUGUGACGAAGCGUGAGUGACGGUAAUGGGUAAAGAAGCACCGGCUAACUACGUGCCAGCAGCCGCGGUAA
rnacentral:rRNA from 1 species